CGCCUACGGGUGGCUGCAGUAGGGAAUAUUAGUUAAUGUGCGAAAGCGCGAACUAGCAACGCCGCGUGUGCGAUGAAGGUCUUCGGAUCGUAAAGCACUUUUCGAGAAGAUGAGGAAGGACAGUACUCUCGGAAUAAGUCUCGGCUAACUACGUGCCAGCAGCCGCGGUAAAACGUAGGAGGCAAGCGUUAUCCGGAUUUACUGGGCGUAAAGCGCGUGCAGGCGGUUUGGUAAGUUGGAUGUGAAAGCUCCCGGCUCAACUGGGAGAGGUCGUUCAAAACUACCAGACUUGAGGGCGGUAGAGGGAAGUGGAAUUCCGUGUGUAGUGGUGAAAUGCGUAGAUAUACGGAGGAACACCAGUGGCGAAAGCGGCUUCCUGGACCGAUCCUGACGCUCAGACGCGAAAGCUAGGGGAGCAAACGGGAUUAGAUACCCGAGUAGUCUUG
rnacentral:rRNA from 1 species